GACGAACCGUGCGAACGUUGUUCGGAAUCACUGGGCUUAAAGGGCGCGUAGGCGGGCUGUCCAGUCUGGGGUCAAAUCCCACGGCUCAACCGUGGAACUGCCUCAGAUACUGACGGCCUCGAGGGAGAUAGGGGCAUGCGGAACUGUAGGUGGAGCGGUGAAAUGCGUUGAUAUCUACAGGAACUCCGGUGGCGAAGGCGGCGUGCUGGAUCUCUUCUGACGCUGAGGCGCGAAAGCUAGGGGAGCAAACGGG
rnacentral:rRNA from 1 species